rnacentral:rRNA from 1 species
AACGAACGCUGGCGGCAGGCUUAACACAUGCAAGUCGAGCGCCCCGCAAGGGGAGCGGCAGACGGGUGAGUAACGCGUGGGAAUCUACCCAACCCUACGGAAUAACGCAUGGAAACGUGUGCUAAUACCGUAUACGCCCUACGGGGGAAAGAUUUAUCGGGGAUGGAUGAGCCCGCGUUGGAUUAGCUAGUUGGUGGGGUAAAGGCCUACCAAGGCGACGAUCCAUAGCUGGUCUGUGAGGAUGAUCAGCCACAUUGGGACUGAGACGCGGCCCAAACUCCUACGGGAGGCAGCAUUGGGGAAUAUUGGACAAUGGGCGCAAGCCUGAUCCAGCCAUGCCGCGUGAGUGAUGAAGGCCCUAGGGUUGUAAAGCUCUUUCACCGAUGAAGAUAAUGACGGUAGUCGGAGAAGAAGCCCCGGCUAACUUCGUGCCAGCCGCCGCCGUAAUAC